UACGUAGGUGACAAGCGUUGUCCGGAUUUAUUGGGCGUAAAGAGCGUGUAGGCGGCCUGGUAGGUCAGCUGUGAAAACUCGAGGCUCAACCUCGAGACGCCGGUUGAAACCAUCAGGCUAGAGUCCGGAAGAGGAGAGUGGAAUUCCCGGUGUAGCGGUGAAAUGCGCAGAUAUCGGGAAGAACACCCGUGGCUAAGGCGGCUCUCUAGUACGGUACUGACGCUGAGACGCGAAAGCGUGGGGAGCGAACAGG
rnacentral:rRNA from 1 species